rnacentral:rRNA from 1 species
CCUACGGGAGGCAGCAGUGAGGAAUAUUGGUCAAUGGACGAGAGUCUGAACCAGCCAAGUAGCGUGAAGGAUGACUGCCCUAUGGGUUGUAAACUUCUUUUAGAUGGGAAUAAAAUGUUCCACGUGUGGGAUUUUGUAUGUACCAUAUGAAUAAGGAUCGGCUAACUCCGUGCCAGCAGCCGCGGUAAUACGGAGGAUCCGAGCGUUAUCCGGAUUUAUUGGGUUUAAAGGGAGCGUAGGUGGAUUGUUAAGUCAGUUGUGAAAGUUUGCGGCUCAACCGUAAAAUUGCAGUUGAAACUGGCAGACUUGAGUACAGUAGAGGUGGGCGGAAUUCGUGGUGUAGCGGUGAAAUGCUUAGAUAUCACGAAGAACUCCGAUUGCGAAGGCAGCUCACUGGACUGCAACUGACACUGAGGAUCGAAAGUGUGGGUAUCAAACAGGAUUAGAUACCCCAGUAGUC